rnacentral:rRNA from 1 species
GACGAACGCUGGCGGCGUGCCUAAUACAUGCAAGUCGAACGCAGUGGGGACGGGUGAGUAACACGUGGGUAACCUCCCAUCAGAGGGGAUAACACUUGGAAACAGGUGCUAAACUGAUACUGAUGGAUGGACCCGAGGUGCAUUAGCUAGUGGGGGGGGUAACGGCUCACCAAGUCAACGCGGCAUAGCCGACCUGAUAGGGUGAUCGGCCACACGGGGACUGAGAAACGGCCCAGGCUCCUACGGGAGGCAGCAGUAGGGAAUCUUCGGCAAUGGACGAAAGUCUGACCGAGCAACGCCGCGGGAGUGAAGAAGGUUUUCGGAUCGUAAAACUCUUUUGUUAGAGAAGCGGUAUCUAACCAGAAAGCCACGGCUAACUACGUGCCAGCCGCCGCGGUAAUUC